rnacentral:misc_RNA from 1 species
GAGGAGAGAAGAGAAAAAAAAAAAGCAAAAAGGCAAAUGACCUGCACAAGUCCAAAUCUUUGGUUUAUUUUAAUACUUUUGGCAAAGUCUUUCAUAUCAGCUUCACCCUCAACUAUGCAAUUAUGUGUGAGAUGUGGUCUCAAAAGGGAAAAAUCUUUUUGAACCGAAAAUGUUUUCUAGUAAAGAAAGCACAAGUAUUGGUACUUGGUAAGUUGUUAAUAUCUGAGCCAUCAUGGAUAAGGAGGGCUAUUUCCUUGUGUAUCUAGAGUGGGGUUUAAGCAGAAGGAAAGAUGGAUACUCUAUUAUUUAGGCCUUCGUGCCUUUUAGCAAUGUCCCUUCCAUGGGAAAGAUUAAGAAAAAAAGGAGUUGUAUUUGUUUUCAAUUGUUACCCUUUCAUCUAUUUGAAUCCGACUUAAUUAUUUUUUGCAACUAAUUAGUGAAAACCAUUCGUACAAGAACUUAGUCAAAAUUGAACCUAAAAUUGUAUAACCAAGCACAAAUUGAUUCAAUGAAUGAAUUGGCCAAAAACGAAAAAUGCAAUGUUUUGGAUUUUUUUUAGUGUCAUUAACUCUUUGAAUUAUAUAAGGGAAUGUAAUCAUAGGAUGAAAACAGGAUGGAUGAAAUGGAAGAGUGUGACGGGCGUAUUAUGCGACUGUAAGAUUCCAAAUAAAGUGAAAGGUAAAUUCUGUAGGAUUGUGGUCAGACCAACUACAUUGUAUAGGAGUGAAUGUCGGACAUAUAAGGUAUAACAUACCCACAAGAUAAGUAUGACAGAAAUACAGAUGUUAAGAUGGAUGUUUGGUGACAUGAUAAUGGAUAAGAUUAAUAAUGAUCAUAUUCGUCAGAGAAUGCAUGUAGUACAUAUUAGAGACAAAACGAGAGACAGUCGAUUAAGAUGGUAUCACAUCCAAUGUAAAGAAUCAAAUGUCCCAAUACAUAAGUAUGAUAAGCUAGGGUAGGAGUGAGAAGGGGGAGGGAGAGACCAAAGAUGACGUGGGAGGAAGUAAUAUCAAAUGAUUGACAAGUGUUGGAUAUUGAUACUGGUAUCUAACAAAGCUGAAUGGCCAAAAAAAUCCAUAUGGUCUACCCCAACUAGUUUUAUACUAAGGCUUAGUUGUGUUUGUUGUUGCUGCCAUUAACUCUUUGAAUGUUGCGAAGGCUAUGUCUAGACUAAGUAAAUCAAAGAAGUGAU